CGGACGGGUUAGUAACACGUGGAUAACCUACCUAUAAGACUGGGAUAACUUCGGGAAACCGGAGCUAAUACCGGAUAAUAUUUUGAACCGCAUGGUUCAAAAGUGAAAGACGGUCUUGCUGUCACUUAUAGAUGGAUCCGCGCUGCAUUAGCUAGUUGGUAAGGUAACGGCUUACCAAGUCAACGAUGCAUAGCCGACCUGAGAGGGUGAUCGGCCACACUGGAACUGAGACACGGUCCAG
rnacentral:rRNA from 1 species